UUGGAUGAUGAAACUUGAUGAGCUCCAAUUUGGCUUGGAUUACAGUAUUUCAGAAGACUUUCUGAACUUGCCAGGCAACCCUCCCCCUAGACUUUGGGGACAGAGGAGCUUAAAUUUAUAUUUCCAGUGUCACACAAGGAGAAAGAAUGGAGUUGGCUGCUUUGUCCAAGUAAUGAAAAUCAAUGCUGUGUUGUUCUUGGAAGGAGCGCUCAAAAGGAAAGCCUGGCAUAUAGAUCUUGGUUUAGAGACAGAUUUUGCCUAGGAAGGCUGUGCCCAGGGGAAGAUACAGGAAGAAGGAGAAGAGGUGAUGCUACAUGCCAGUUUCCUGACCUCCAGAGUGGAACUGAAGCUUUGUAACAAGAUUUAUCUGGAAAGUGUGACUGACAGGAGCAGCUUACUCACCAUUAGAUAAGUAUUGGAGAUGACUCAUGCUGGAGUAUUGGUAGCUGUGCUGCUGAGAUGGAUAUCCUGUUUUAUAACUGCUAUAGUGUGAUGCCAAGAGCCAGGAACCUUAAUUUCACUAUCCAGGCUUUUCUGUGAAAGUGCUUUGGGUCUCUGGCACCUUUUCUCCUUGGUUUGUCCAUCUAAAGGGUUCACAAGGGGAGGUUUUGCUUCCCCCAGUGGGGUACAGGGUAUGGGGCAGCUCAUGGUACCUUGAAAUGAAAGCUAGUUGAAAGGCUGUAGCUUUAUAGCUCUUCUUCAGGACGUGCAAUAUUUGUCUUUUUCAUAGAUGUCAUUAGUGUCUUUCCUCGAUUCUUUGGGUUUUUUUGUUUUGUUUGUGUUUUUUCAGAGCCAUUAAACCCUUUCUUCAGCGGAACAAACCAGAAGGUGCAGAAACAGAUUUUCUAACUAUGGAAGCUCUCCUGAGGAGCCACAUUAUGUGCUGCUGCCCCUGGGAUGGGAUGCAGAGCAAGGAGUGAAGAAGAGCUGUGAUGUGCCACUGAAAGUUGCUUUUGUGACGAGAGGGGCUUUCUAGCAUUCAUGUGGUGCUGAAAGACAUUUUACUCUGAGCAGCAAAAAUCCUUAUCUUCUUUUUUUUUUUUUUUUUUUUUUCCAGGACAACAGAUGCUAUUUCCUGUUAGAGAUGCUUUAUAUGCAAAUCAAAGUGCUACAACAAGAAAAAAGUCCUGAAAGCAAUCACACUGAUAAACUCAGCCCACUGGGGAAUUCCUGCUUAUCAUUUAUCUUUUCUUUUUUCAGUUCUGUACAAGAUACUUCUUUGCCUGUGCUUUUUUACAGUCUUUAAUGUUUGUCCUGACAGACUUCUUGCUUAUGGACUACAGUGCUUGCAUUUUGCAGGGCUCUAUGUCAGUCUGCACAAACAAAAGGCAGUAAGUGCUGGAAAUUGGGGUUAACAGUCCCUGUGUUUCAGCUUGAUCUUGCAUUGAUCUGGUGCUUUCUGAAGUUCAAGCCAGACAUGAGCCUCACACUACAGAUUGCCAUGUGCCUGUUGUGAUGAUCUGCUUGGAAAGGUGAUCCCAGAAACCUCAGGAAUGAAAAAAAAAAGAGAGAUAAAAAACAAAAAGAAGCCAGCAAAAAAAUUACCUAGUAACUUAAACAGGAGCAGGAUUUGACCUGAGGCACCUCAAGAGAUGGUGUGGGCAGCACUGCACUAAUAAUGCAGUAGCACGAGUUGUUCACCUCAUUGCUCCAGCAGAGCAAACUCACAUGGAAUCACAGACUGGUUUGGGUGGGAAGGGACCUUAAAGAUCAUCUAAUUAAA